AUUGAACGCUGGCGGCAGGCCUAACACAUGCAAGUCGAGCGGAUGACGGGAGCUUGCUCCUUGAUUCAGCGGCGGACGGGUGAGUAAUGCCUAGGAAUCUGCCUGGUAGUGGGGGACAACGUUUCGAAAGGAACGCUAAUACCGCAUACGUCCUACGGGAGAAAGCAGGGGACCUUCGGGCCUUGCGCUAUCAGAUGAGCCUAGGUCGGAUUAGCUAUUAGGUGAGGGAAUGGCUCACCUAGGCGACGAUCCGUAACUGGUCUGAGAGGAUGGUCAGUCACACUGGAACUGAGACACGGUCCAGACUCCUACGGGAGGCAGCAGUGGGGAAUAUUGGACAAUGGGCGAAAGCCUGAUCCAGCCAUGCCGCGUGUGUGAAGAAGGUCUUCGGAUUGUAAAGCACUUUAAGUUGGGAGGAAGGGCAGUAAGUUAAUACCUUUCUGUUUUGACGUUACCGACAGAAUAAGCACCGGCUAACUCUGUGCCAGCCGCCGCCGUAACAC
rnacentral:rRNA from 1 species